rnacentral:rRNA from 1 species
UACAGAGGUCUCAAGCGUUGUUCGGAUUCAUUGGGCGUAAAGGGUGCGUAAGCGGCGCGGUAAGUCGGGUGUGAAAUCUUGGAGCUUAACUCCGAAACUGCAUUCGAUACUGCCGUGCUUGAGGACUGGAGAGGAGACUGGAAUUUACGGUGUAGCGGUGAAAUGCGUAGAUAUCGUAAGGAAGACCAGUGGCGAAGGCGGGUCUCUGGACAGUACCUGACGCUGAGGCACGAAGGCCAGGGGAGCAAACGGG